UGCCGAGUCGUCUAAUGGUAGGACAGCAGUUUCUGAAGCUGCUUAUUGGGGUUCGAAUCCCUGCUCGGCAACAA
rnacentral:tRNA from 3 species